AUCAUUAUUGAGAUCGUGCCCUUCGGGGUAGACCUCCCACCCUGUGUUAUUUAUGAUUGUUGCUUUGGCGGGCCGCCCCGCAGGCUCCCGGCCGCGGCCGGGGUGUGCCCGCCAGAGACCCCCCCCUCCUGUGUUUGUUUUAAUGUCGUCUGAGCAUUGUAAAAUAAGUUAAAACUUUCAACAACGGAUCUCUUGGUUCUGGCAUCGAUGAAGAACGCAGCGAAAUGCGAUAAGUAAUGUGAAUUGCAGAAUUCAGUGAAUCAUCGAAUCUUUGAACGCACCUUGCACCCUUUGGUAUUCCGAAGGGUACACCCGUUUGAGUGUCAUUGUAAUCUCACUACGAUCGACUCUUGUCUUUCCGUAUGUGGACUUGGAUGUUGUCGUGGAUUCAACGACUCGUCUGAAAUGCCUGAGUGUACUUCGCUUUGUGGCGUAUUCGGUGUGAUACAUCUUCACCGGAGUUGAUCCUUUUUGGGUCGCGUCUGUAUGAGUGUGGCUCUAUGCUUCCAACCGUCUUUUUAUGAGACAAAUCUCUGACAAUUUGACCUCAAAUCGGGUGGGACUACCCGCUGAACUUAA
rnacentral:rRNA from 1 species